AGAAGGUACUUAUGAAUUAACUCUGAAAUCGGGUCCGAUAUGAUAAUAACAGAAUUGUUUAGUAAUUUCUGUCGGUUUUCUUCGAGAUGCGUGCUUAUAGUGAUGAAUCAUAUGGUUAUUGACGAUGUGUCUCCUGGCAGAAUCGUUAACACACCGGGCGAAAUGCUUAGCGGUAUUUCGU